rnacentral:rRNA from 1 species
ACGCUACGGGAGGCCUACACAUGCAAGUCGAGGGGUAACGGAAGUAGCUUGCUACUAGACGACGACCGGCGCACGGGUGAGUAACGCGCAUGUAAUCUGCCUUGUACAGAGGGAUAGCCCAGAGAAAUUUGGAUUAAUACCUCAUAGUAUUACUGAGUCGCAUGAUUUGGUAAUUAAAGCUCCGGCGGUACAAGAUGAACAUGCGUGACAUUAGCUAGUUGGUAAGGUAACGGCUUACCAAGGCUACGAUGUCUAGGGGUUCUGAGAGGAUGAUCCCCCACACUGGUACUGAGACACGGACCAGACUCCUACGGGAGGCAGCAGUGAGGAAUAUUGGUCAAUGGACGCAAGUCUGAACCAGCCAUCCCGCGUGAAGGAUGACUGCCCUAUGGGUUGUAAACUUCUUUUAUAUGCAAAUAAACCUACUUUCGUGAAAGUAGCUGAAGGUAGCAUAUGAAUAAACACCGGCUAACUCCGUGCCAGCAGCCGCGGUAAUACGGAGGGUGUAAGCGUUAUCCGGAUUUAUUGGGUUUAAAGGGUACGUAGGCGGUAAUAU